rnacentral:hammerhead_ribozyme from 1 species
AACUUGUUGGGAGCUAUUGCCACUUCCCUGAUGAGCCCAUGGCAGGGCGAAACCAGUG